UGGGGAAUAUUGGACAAUGGGGGCAACCCUGAUCCAGCCAUGCCGCGUGCGUGAAGAAGGCCUUAGGGUUGUAAAGCGCUUUCACUGGUGAAGAUGAUGACGGUAGCCAGAGAAGAAGCCCCGGCUAACUCCGUGCCAGCAGCCGCGGUAAUACGGAGGGGGCAAGCGUUGUUCGGAAUUACUGGGCGUAAAGGGCGCGUAGGCGGCACAUCAAGUCAGAGGUGAAAGCCCCGGGCUCAACCUGGGAAUUGCCUUUGAAACUGAUGAGCUAGAGUCCGGAAGAGGAUAGCGGAAUUCCCAGUGUAGAGGUGAAAUUCGUAGAUAUUGGGAAGAACACCAGUGGCGAAGGCGGCUAUCUGGUCCGGUACUGACGCUGAGGCGCGAAAGCGUGGGGAGCAAACAGGAUUAGAUACCCCCGUAGUCC
rnacentral:rRNA from 1 species